GCGGGAAUAGCUCAAUGGUAGAGCAUCAGCCUUCCAAGCUGAGGGUUGCGGGUUCGAGUCUCGUUUCCCGCUCCA
rnacentral:tRNA from 8 species